CGAAACCACAGCCAAGGGAA
rnacentral:snRNA from 1 species